UACGGAGGGGACUAGCGUUGUUCGGAAUUACUGGGCGUAAAGCGCACGUAGGCGGAUUGUUAAGCCAGGGGUGAAAUCCCGAGGCUCAACCUCGGAACUGCCUUUGAUACUGGCAAUCUCGAGUCCGGAAGAGGUGAGUGGAAUUCCUAGUGUAGAGGUGAAAUUCGUAGAUAUUAGGAAGAACACCAGUGGCGAAGGCGGCUCACUGGUCCGGUACUGACGCUGAGGCACGAAAGCGUGGGGAGCAAACAGG
rnacentral:rRNA from 1 species